ACAGCAGCCGCCGCGGUAACACGGAGGGUGCAAGCGUUAAUCGGAAUUACUGGGCGUAAAGCGCACGCAGGCGGUCUGACAAGUCAGAUGUGAAAUCCCCGGGCUUAACCUGGGAACUGCAUUUGAAACUGUCAGGCUGGAGUCUUGUAGAGGGGGGUGGAAUUCCAGGUGUAGCGGUGAAAUGCGUAGAGAUCUGGAGGAAUACCGGUGGCGAAGGCGGCCCCCUGGACAAAGACUGACGCUCAGGUGCGAAAGCGUGGGGAGCAAACAGGAUUAGAGACCCCGGUAGUCCCUGUCUCUUAUAC
rnacentral:rRNA from 1 species